CCUACGGGUGGCAGCAGUGAGGAAUAUUGGUCAAUGGGCGUAAGCCUGAACCAGCCAAGUCGCGUGAGGGAUGAAGGUUCUAUGGAUCGUAAACCUCUUUUAUAAGGGAAUAAAGUGUGGGACGUGUCCUAUUUUGUAUGUCCCUUAUGAAUAAGGAUCGGAUAACUCCGUGCCAGCAGCCGCGGAAAAAAGGAGGAGCCGAGCGUUAUCCGGAUUUCUUGGGUUUAAAGGGUGCGUAGGCGGCCUUUUAAGUCAGCGGUGAAAGUUUGUGGCUCAACCAUAGAAUGGCCGUUGAAACUGGGGGGCUUGAGUAUGUGUGAGGCAGGCGGAAUGCGUUGUGUAGCGGUGAAAUGCUUAGAUAUCACGCAGAACUCCGAUUGCGAAGGCAGCUUACUAAACUGCCACUGACAUUGAGGCUCGAAAGUGUGGGUAUCAAACAGGAUUAGAUACCCUUGUAGUC
rnacentral:rRNA from 1 species